AAAAAAAUCCAUUUGGUCUAAUUUAAUCAAAUGUAAUACAAUUUAAAAACAAAAAAAAAGAUUAAUUAACUGAUUUUUUUUUUUACAAAAUAUUUUGUUAAUACUAAAGCUGCAUGUCAUGCUGAAGGAGUUACUGGGCAUUAUGAUGAUAUUUGACUAUGCUAAUCCAUUAGACACUUUUCCUUACAUGUGACUUUAUAAGCCAAGAUUUAAAGAAGACAAAGAUUGGUAGAAGAAAACUGGACAUCAUUUUUUAAACUAGCAUGCCAGUGUUCAUUUCAAUCUUGAGCAGAGUUGAACAGUUUGACGUUUUGCCAAUCUAUUCUAUGUGAACAACUAAGUUGUAUCUGAAUAUAAAACAAUUGUUUUACAUGUUAAUUUUUUUCAUAGACAAGUUACCAUUUUUUAAGGCAUUUCUUUUUCAAUGUUACCAUUUGUAUAAUACUGUACAUAUGUAUAUUGUAAACAAUUCUUAAAGCUUUGAGUGUGUAGAGAUGUAUGACAAAUGUCUGUGUUAGUUAUAAGAUGUUAGGUGUGUGUUUCAUUUCUGUCAUUGAUUUUUGUAUUUUGCUUUGACAUUCUAUUCAGUCAGUUAUGGUAGGAGUAAGACUUAAUAAAAUUAAUUAUUUGAAAUUAUGGUUUAUGUUUUGACUUCACUGAAAACAAAAAUUACCAGCAUAUAUAAGAAUGAAGGAUUCAUAUUUUACUUUGUAUUCAUUUUUUUUUUUUUUUUUGCAAAACCAAGACAUUGUUUGUCAAUUUUUUAAAUGGUGGAUAAUAGAUUUAUUUGUACAAUUCUCUCUUGUGUAUGUUUCAGGCAAUAGAAAGAGAAACUGUCAUCAAAAGGUUUUCUCUAUCAAGUAUAUUUUUUAUAUUCUUUCCAUUUUAUUUAUUGAGAGCAAAAAUGUUGAGAUGAACAGCCUGAUAUCAUUGUUUUCCACUUCCUGCUCUAAGAGCUGAAACUGUAUCAUCAGAGUCAAAAGCAGUGCAUAUCAUAUUCCUGUUCUAAUUGAUCUAUGUUAUUCAAAAAUAUAUAUAUAUAAGUGCAGAUUUGAAAUUAGGAUAUUUAAUUUAGGAGCUGCAAGUGCAAGACUUAUGAGAAAAAAAAAAAAAAAAAAAGGUACCCCCUUUCAGACCUUUGUGAUAAGUAGUGCAGGUGAUUUAAGGGUGAUCUGUUACAAUGACUAAUGCAUAAUGAGGGUGUCAGAUGGCAAACACAUUGAUUGACCACCUUUACUUCCCUAAUGUAGGUCAGGUACUUAUUAGUGUAGGGUGGACUCAGGAGCAUCCUAAAACUCUAGAACUUUAUUGAUUCAAACUUAAGACCCUGAGCUUUUUGUUUUGUCUGCCAUGGUUUUUC